rnacentral:RNase_P_RNA from 1 species
CGAGUAAGCCAGACAGCCGCGGCAUCGUGAUCCGAUGACGAGGAAAGUCCGAGCUCCCCAGGGCAAAGGUGCUGGGUAAUUCCCAGUGGAGGCGACUCCAAGGAUAGUGCAACAGAGAGAUACCGCCGGUGAUUCUGAAAACCGAGGUUUUUGGAAUUCCGGUAAGGGUGGAAAGGUGAGGUAAGAGCUCACCAGCAGCCUGGCGACUGGCUGGCUAUGUAAACCCCACCUGGAGCAAGACCAAGCAGGGGCUAAAAGCGGCUGCCCGCCGCGCUCCGUGGUAGGUUGCUUGAGCCGUCUGGUAACAGACGGUCUAGAUAGAUGGCUGUCAAAUACAGAACUCGGCUUAUAGACUUACUCGCUGU